rnacentral:rRNA from 1 species
GAUGAACGCUGGCGGCGUGCCUAAUACAUGCAAGUCGAGCGAACGGACGAGAAGCUUGCUUCUCUGAUGUUAGCGGCGGACGGGUGAGUAACACGUGGAUAACCUACCUAUAAGACUGGGAUAACUUCGGGAAACCGGAGCUAAUACCGGAUAAUAUUUUGAACCGCAUGGUUCAAAAGUGAAAGACGGUCUUGCUGUCACUUAUAGAUGGAUCCGCGCUGCAUUAGCCAGUUGGUAAGGUAACGGCUUACCAAGGCAACGAUGCAUAGCCGACCUGAGAGGGUGAUCGGCCACACUGGAACUGAGACACGGUCCAGACUCCUACGGGAGGCAGCAGUAGGGAAUCUUCCGCAAUGGGCGAAAGCCUGACGGAGCAACGCCGCGUGAGUGAUGAAGGUCUUCGGAUCGUAAAACUCUGUUAUUAGGGAAGAACAUAUGUGUAAGUAACUGUGCACAUCUUGACGGUACCUAAUCAGAAAGCCACGGCUAACCACGUG